GUAGGUGGCAAGCGUUGUCCGGAAUUAUUGGGCGUAAAGCGCGCGCAGGCGGUUCUUUAAGUCUGAUGUAAAGCCCACGGCUCAACCGUGGAGGGUCAUUGGAAACUGGAGAACUUGAGUACAGAGGAGGAAAGCGGAAUUCCACGUGUAGCGGUGAAAUGCGUAGAGAUGUGGAGGAACACCAGUGGCGAAGGCGGCUUUCUGGUCUGUAACUGACGCUGAGGCGCGAAAGCGUGGGGAGCAAACAGGGAUUAGAUACCCUGGUAGUCCACGCCGUAAACGAUGAGUGCUAAGUGUUAGGGGGUUUCCGCCCCCUUAGUGCUGCAGCUAACGCAUUAAGCACUCCGCCUGGGGAGUACGGCCGCAAGGCUG
rnacentral:rRNA from 1 species